rnacentral:piRNA from 1 species
UCGAAAGGCUGGUGCUGCCAUCACUACGG